rnacentral:rRNA from 1 species
AGUGAACGCUGGCGGUAGGCCUAACACAUGCAAGUCGAACGGCAGCACAGUAAGAGCUUGCUCUUACGGGUGGCGAGUGGCGGACGGGUGAGGAAUACAUCGGAAUCUACUUUUUCGUGGGGGAUAACGUAGGGAAACUUACGCUAAUACCGCAUACGACCUACGGGUGAAAGCAGGGGAUCUUCGGACCUUGCGCGAUUGAAUGAGCCGAUGUCGGAUUAGCUAGUUGGCGGGGUAAAGGCCCACCAAGGCGACGAUCCGUAGCUGGUCUGAGAGGAUGAUCAGCCACACUGGAACUGAGACACGGUCCAGACUCCUACGGGAGGCAGCAGUGGGGAAUAUUGGACAAUGGGCGCAAGCCUGAUCCAGCGAUACCGCGUGGGUGAAGAAGGCCUUCGGGUUGUAAAGCCCUUUUGUUGGGAAAGAAAAGCAGCAGGUUAAUACCCCGCUGUUCUGACGGUACCCAAAGAAUAAGCACCGGCUAACUUCGUG